rnacentral:rRNA from 1 species
AGUCUGGUGCCAGCAGCCGCGGUAAUUCCAGCUCCAAUAGCGUAUAUUAAAGUUGUUGCAGUUAAAAAGCUCGUAGUUGGAUUUCUGGUGUCAAGUUUGUUCCAAUUCUGGGGGGACUUGUUUUCUUUCACUUUGAGAGGAGGCGGGGCUUCCCGUGGAGCAGUGACUUGGUAUCAUCCUCUCGGGGACGGCACAUGUCCUUUGUUGGGUGUGUGUUUUUGGACCCGGGAUCUUUACUUUGAAAAAAUUAGAGUGUUCAAAGCAGGCCUUCGCUUGAAUACAUUAGCAUGGAAUAAUAGAAUAGGACUUUGGUUCUGUUUUGUUGGUUUAUAGGACCGAAGUAAUGAUUAAUAGGGAUAGUUGGGGGCAUUAGUAUUUAAUUGUCAGAGGUGAAAUUCUUGGAUUUAUGAAAGACUAACAUCUGCGAAAGCAUUUGCCAAGGAUGUUUUCAUUAAUCAAGAACGAAAGUUAGGGGAUCGAAGACGAUCAGAUACCGUCGUAGUCUUAACCAUAAACUAUGCCGACUAGGGAUCGGUGGGUUCAACAAUUUUAGGCCCAUCGGCACCUUAUGGGAAACCAAAGUUUUUGGGGUUCCGGGGGGAGUAUGGUCGCAAGGCUGAAACUUAAAGGAAUUGACGGAAGGGCACCACCAGGAGUGGAGCCUGCGGCUUAAUUUGACCCAACACGGGAAAACUCACCAGGUCCAGACAUAGGAAGGAUUGACAGAUUGAGAGCUCUUUCUUGAUUCUAUGGUUGGUGGUGCAUGGCCGCUCUUAGUUGGUGGAGUGAUUUGUCUGGUUAAUUCCGUUAACGAACGAGACCUUAACCUGCUAAAUAGAGUUGCGAUUCUCGAAUCGUAGACUACUUCUUAGAGGGACUAUCGGCGUUUAGUCGGUGGAAGUUUGAGGCAAUAACAGGUCUGUGAUGCCCUUAGAUGUUCUGGGCUGCACGCGCGCUACACUGACGAGAGCAACGAGUGUUCCUUGCCCUGGAAAGGGUGGGUAAUCUUUUGAAAUCUCGUCGUUAUGGGGAUAGAUCUUUGUAAUUAUCGAUCUUGAACGAGGAAUUCCUAGUAAGCGCGAUUCAUCAAAUCGCGUUGAUUACGUCCCUGCCCUUUGUACACACCGCCCGUCGCUACUACCGAUUGAAUGGUUUAGUGAGGCCUCGGGAUUGACGAAUGGGAGAUCAGCAAUGAUUCCCCUAUCGCUCGAGAACUUGGUCAAACUUGAUCAUUUAGAGGAAGUAAAAGUCGUA